rnacentral:rRNA from 1 species
UACGUAGGGAGCAAGCGUUGUUCGGAUUUACUGGGCGUAAAGGGCGCGUAGGCGGCAAUUCAAGUCAUCUGUGAAAUCUCCGGGCUUAACUCGGAACGGUCAGAUGAUACUGCUUUGCUAGAGUGCAGAAGGGGCAAUCGGAAUUCUCGGUGUAGCGGUGAAAUGCGCAGAUAUCAGGAGGAACACCGGUGGCGAAGGCGGGUCUCUGGGCCGUAACUGACGCUGAGGAGCGAAAGCGUGGGGAGCGAACAGG